rnacentral:rRNA from 1 species
CAGCAGCCGCGGGAAUACGUAGGUGGCAAGCGUUGUCCGGAAUUAUUGGGCGUAAAGGGCUCGCAAGCGGUUUCUUAAGUCUGAUGUGAAAGCCCCCGGCUCAACCGGGGAGGGUCAUUGGAAACUGGGAAACUUGAGUGCAGAAGAGGAGAGUGGAAUUCCACGUGUAGCGGUGAAAUGCGUAGAGAUGUGGAGGAACACCAGUGGCGAAGGCGACUCUCUGGUCUGUAACUGACGCUGAGGAGCGAAAGCGUGGGGAGCGAACAGGAUUAGAUACCCCCGUAGUCCCUGUCUCUUAUAC